rnacentral:lncRNA from 1 species
GGAAAAGCGCUUGAGCCGGUGAGGCCGGGGUUGCAGUGAGCUGAGACAGCACCAUUCCACUCCAGUCUGGGCAACAGAGCACGACUCUGUCUCAAAAAAUAAUGAUAAUAAUAACUGAUGGGGGAGGAGAGAGGAGAGCCAAGAGGAGGAUGGGUAGGUACUGCCCUGAGGACAUGUGGCCAGUUAGUGUCAGAGAAGCUGGGGCUCCCACCCACAAUCCCACACCACCUCUCAGGGCUCCCAGGAGGCUAAGAAGGUGGAGGGGCUUUAAUAUGGUAAGUGAGGCUGAGCGGAAUUGUUUCAAGGGGAUGGGGAGGGGACUAUCUCAUGACAUGGCUUCCGCCUUGGGCUUUGUGGUCUCCCACAUCCGGCCUGCCCAGUAUUCUGUGUCCUGUGGUCUCCUCUGCGCCACUUCCCUGCCUGCAGUAGGGUGUAACAGCCCCACCUGGGAUGUGAUGCAGGUCACCUCACAUGGCACAGUGUUGGCCACUUCCUUUCCUCUGAAGAGGAAACGUGUAUGAGUCUCUGCUUCAUGCCAGGCCUUGUUCUAGGGGCUCGGGGUACAGCAGUGAACAAGAUGAAUGUGGUCCCUGCUCCCACAGAACUGAUGUUCACAUAGGAUAGGGGAAUGAGAAAUGGACCCAUGCCUUAGGAAAACCCAACAGGUGAAGGAGGUAGAGGAUGACUUGGCCGAGGGUGGGGGUACAUUAGCAAUGGCCACUCUAGGGAGGUUUGAGCUGAGGCCUGACUGAUGAGAAGGAGCCAGCCAGAGGAAGGCAUUGGAACUGGCAAGAGUCACAAAUGCAGAGGCCUGGAGUAGGGUUGGCAAGUUCUCCCUUUCUGGGGGAUGCUGUGCGUCCGUUGACCCUUAGGAGACUUGGAUACCUGUGGGAUGGGUUGGAGAUGUCUCUGGUGCCUUAGAAGAAAGUUGACUCCUGGCCUUCCCCUGUGUGAACUCCAAGCACAUCCCCAGGGAAACAUCUGUCUUUGGUCCUGGAUUCCUCCCACCUCAGCCUUCCUGGGGAGUCACGCCACAAGUUAACUCUGCCAGCUGGCUCUGAAGUUUCUCUCAAACCACGAGCAUUUGGGCUGUUUUCUUAGUCCCCCAGCUGGGGCGUGUGGCAAUUGGCUUACCUCAGGGAUCAGGGCACCUCCCAGGCUACCCUUGUACCUUCACCCCAGAACUCUGUCUUCUGACCCACUCAUCACACCCAUUAGUCAGUCUUGCCAUGACCCUUUUCCGCAAAGAAACAAGAUGCACAUCCUCUUCACGGUGAGGAGGGGAGACCCAUGACCCUUGGAGGUGGGGUGGGGGCUGCUAGGGCCCUCACUGGUACUCCACAUAUCUCCUGCACAGAGCCAGACAAUGUCCAGGAUCUUGAGAAGAAUGGACCCUACCAAUGGCAAACCCACAUAUGGUCUCUAACCCACCACAAAUGCUAUACAGGGAGCUCCAGACUGCAAACACACUUGAGGUCCUGUGGCCACACUGUUCUCAUGUCCUGAGGAGUCUGAGGUG